rnacentral:lncRNA from 1 species
CCGUAAACCAAAUAAAAACAAAAGAAAAAUGAUCAUUCGAAAAAAAAGAGAGGAUAACAAUUAACAUAGAAGAAAAUAUCAAAUUGGAAUAAAGUAAAGAGAAGUUCAAAAAUUAGAAACGAACCAAUAUUAAAAUUAAAAUUGCUCCACGACAACCAAUUCAGCUUUAGCACAAGAGAGAACCUGCCUCCUCUUCAUUUUCUAUACCAAAAAAAAAAAUUAUAAUUAUAAUAUGAUACAAUUGAAAAAAUAUAGAGUAAACUACCAUUUGUAUCCACAAAAAUUGAAAACGUUGAUAUAUCUACUCAUAAAAAAAGGAAAUUACCAUUUGUACCCAUAAAAAAUAAUUUUUACAAGCAAAAUUAUCCAAAUCCUAAAAAAUUACCUAAAAUCCCUAAAUUACUCUUAUCUUCACCACCACACCACCUCCUUCACCCAAUCACCUUUCUAACCCUAACCCUCUUCACCCAGCUACCACCCCCUUUUUCCUUUCUAAUCUCAAAUCCCACUACCAUCUCAUUUCUUUUAUCACUACUAUCACCACCACCACCACUAUAUCUCCAUCAUCAUCUUCUUCACAUGCAGCAGCAGCAGCAACAACAACAACAAUAGAAAAAACAGAGAAAAAACGGUUCUUCCUCACUGAACAGCGUCGACGACGAUGGUGGCAGUGACACCCACCGGCGCUGUCGCCCUCUCCUCCUUCUCCGAUCUCUUGCGCGCUCUCUUCCUUCCAGACCAGCGACAACGACAGCGACGGACUCAAUCAAUGGCGGCGACAGAUGUGACGGAGCCGGCAGCAGCAGGGCGCGACGGCGGCGACAGCUCCCCCUUCCUUGGUUCUGGCUUGCAUUUUCUCUUGGGCACCCUCAACAACGGCGACGAUGAUGCGAUAGCGGCAGCGAGUCCCCACGUUGCCAGUGCGGUCUCGCUCCUCCUCCUCUUCUCUUCUUCUUCCUCGGGUGGGGGUGUGUGUGUAAUGUCUCCGUGUGUGAAUUUUGGAGGGAAAGGGGGUGGUGGCUGGGUGACGGAGAAGGGUAAUUUAGAAAUUUUAUUUAAUUUUUUAGGGUUUGGAUAAUUUUGCUUGUAAAAACUAUUUUUUAUAGAUACAAAUGGUAAUUUCCUUUUUUUAUGGGUAGAUAUGUCAGCGUUUUCAACUUUCGUAGAUACAAAUGAUAGUUUACUCAAAAACAUAAUAUCAUCUAAUAUCACAUAACCAUUACAUAAACAUGAUUUGCAAUUAGAAAGUAGCAAAAAAAUCCUAGCAAAUCAAAAUAAAUACCUUAUGCACACCGGUUGAAGUGAUUUUAGACCGCCGGAAGCCGUCAUAACAAUCUACCAAUCUAGUCCUACCUCAACCUUCAGCCAAAACAAGAGCAGAUUAAGCAUACAUAAAUAAAUAAUUUUGUUUUAAAAAAAGAAAAUAUAAAAUAAAUUUUUGCUUUUGAAAAAAAUUACCUCAACAGAAGUGCAAGACAAAAAUAUUAAAAAAUCAAUAAUAGAAUUGUCAAUAUAAUGACUCUACUAAUAUCAAAGAAGGUGCUUCACAGAAACUCACUUGUCUUAUUCCUUCAAAGAGAUAUGGAUUCCUAUCAGUAAUAGACAAAAGGUCAAAAGCAAAUGCUUGAGUUGUGUAAAGGCAUCAAUAUCUACACUCACUUCAAGUUCUUGUGCCUUAACAUUAGCUGAACUGCAAAAACAAUAAAUGAAUUUUUAAUAAAUAAAUUUAAAAAAAACUUUUAGAAUUUCACUAAAAAGGGCCGCUGUUCAUAUCAUCAAAUGCAAUUUCUUGAAUGCAAGUAUAAAAACUAAAAAUUGCCCACAUAAUUACGGGUUAUUUUUAUUUAAAAAGUAUAAAAAUUAAAAAAGAAAAAACAUAAUUAAAAGUAUAUGAAACGACAUAUGAAAUAUUCCGAUACAGAUUAUAAAUACAUGUGCAACUAUUUUAAGACUAAUUUAAGUACCCAAAGAUCAUAGUUAAAAAAGGAUAUUUCCUUAGACUAAAUUCAGAAAUUGGCAACCUCUAGGAAACCUUUCAUUACAUCUCAGAAUCAUCUUUUGUCGGGAAUGGAUCCUUUUCAAUUUUUUUGAUACUUGAGAGAAUAAAGUGUAAUUUUUUAUUGUUAAUUUUAUAAAUGGGACCAAAAAUAAAUAUGAGAGAGAAUAAUAAAAGAUGAGAUUAAACAAUUGACACUAUCCAAUUUUUUCUCCACUCCCUCUUUUGUUAUCCAAAACAGCAGCCUUUGCCGGAAAGUAAUUAUGAUGAUCACACAAGGGGAAAAUAAAAUAAAAACAAGAUUCCAAAGUUGCAAGAUUCAACAAUCAUGAACAUUAUGCACAAAAAAUCCUAAAAUAAAUAUAUCUCAUUACAUUAAUCAACAAACCUUGAAACUCCACGUAAAUUUGAUCAUAUAAAGUAAUUAAUUUGAAUAAAGAUACACAAAAAUAUAUGUAAUGUAAUUGAACAAAUAAAGAAAUUCAAAUUGUUCGUAUUUAUCUCGUGGUACGUACUUAAGAGAAUCCGAGAUUUUCGAGUUAAAGUGUUCACGGACCAGGCCGAAAAGACAACUUGCAAUGACACUCCAAAACUUAUAUUAGAAGUGUAUUUUUCGUGGAAAAUGAUCAUGAUCCUACUAUUUUAGAGCCCUCGUUUUAUAUAUUUCUUGAAUUGAGCAUUUAAUGUCGGAUAUGCGUUCAUAUCGAAUUCCAGUCAUUUUUUUUAGGGCAAAAUACUAUAAUAAGCCAACAUGAAUCCAAAUUUACCUAUAUGAGCCAAAAUGAAAAUCGAUACAGCAAUGAGCCAGAUCAUAUUUUUAUGUAAUUCGAACCAGGCUAGUUCGAACUUCAUCUUCAAAUAAAUCAAACCAGAGCAUUUCGAACUUUAAAGAAAAAAUUGAAAGUAAAUCGAACCAGACUGGUUCGAACUAGGUAUGCAAGUAAUUCGAACCACUCCAGUUCGAAUUAUGGGUAAAUGAGGUCUUCAUGUAAUUCGAACCACCCUAGUUCGAAUUACGCUUAAGCUAGGUUGUUAGUAAUUCGAACCACCCUGGUUCGAAUUACUAGUGAUUGGGCUAUAUAAGGAGUUCGAAUCAGCCUCAUUCGAACCAUUCUCAUCUUCCCCUGCCCCACCAAAUCUCAGAGAAAACGACCCAGAUUCUCUCCGAGAAAGACCUGAACGGAAUACUCUGCUCAUGGGGGACGAUCCGGCACGGUUAUAUCGCUUGGACGGAGUCGCCCAUAUAGCUGGGGUCAUCAACGAAGAGGUUAGUACGGAAAUAACUUUAUUUUACCGGUACAUGUGAGUUAGUGGUUUGGCAUGCGGGUUAGAUGUUGGUUUAGUUGGUGGUUUAUUUUAGCGGUUUAUGUUAGUGAUUUCUGUUAAUGGUUUAUGUUAGUGGUUUUUGUUAGUGGUUUAUGUUGGUGGUUUAUCUUAGUGGUUUAUCUUAGUGGUUUAUGUAUGUGGUUUAUGUAAGCGGUUUACAUUAAGUGUUUACGUUAGUGGUUUAUGUUAGUGGUUUAUGUAAGCGGUUUAGUUGUGGUUUUAUAAUGUUAGAUCUUUGAUGUCAGUAGGCUAUGGUGGUUUCUAAUUUAAGUUUCUUAUGCAAAUGGUUCUCGUUCUUGGAUUUUUAAGCGGCUAUGCAUAGUAAGAUUUUUGGGUUUAGGGAUUAUCGUGUUGAUUAUGUUUGUCACCGGUUAUUAAGUUGGUUCUAAUAAUGCGGUUCAUUUCUUCCGCAGCCUCAGCGAUGCAUCAGGAGCAUGCGGCGGCAGCAGGGCAUGGUCCUGGAUGACAGAUACGUUCCGUACCUGCAGAUGGCUGGUCUUUACCAUCUUGCAAGGCUGAACGAUAGAUGGUUCCGAUUGGACGAGGCCCUUGUCAGUGCGUUUGUUGAGCGAUGGCGUCCGGAGACGCACACGUUUCAUAUGCCGUUCGGAGAGUGCACUAUCACACUGCAGGACGUGGCAUACCAGCUGGGUUUGCCAGUGGACGGGCGUUACGUCAGCGGCUGCCUAUCAGAGUUCCAUGUAUACAUCGAUGGUGGCCGUCCAGCCUGGGUUUGGUUCGAGGAGUUGCUUAUAGUGGUACCUCCUCCUAGCCAGGUUCAGAAGUACGCGGUCAACUGCAGCUGGUUUCAGGAGACGUUUGGUGAUGUCCCGGAGGGAGCUGAUGAGGAUACUGUGCGUCGUUAUGCCCGUGCGUACAUCAUGAUGUUGUUGGGCACGCAGCUUUUUGCGGACAAGUCGGGCAACCGCGUUCACAUCAGAUGGCUUCCGUUUGUAGCUAGGCUGGAGGAGAUGGGGACCUACAGCUGGGGUUCUGCAGCACUGGCAUGGUUGUACCGGUGCAUGUGCCGUGUGGCGAACAGAAAUGUUAUCAAGCUAGCGGGCCCACUUCAGCUACUUCAGUCAUGGAUUUUCUGGCGAUUUCCUCGCUUUAGGCCUGCAGGAUUUGAGACGUUCAGCUGGCCAUUGGCCUCGAGGUACUUUACUAAUCUUUGUCUAUUUCAAUUUACUACACAUAACCGCGUGUUCAUUCAUAAUGUAUUGGAUACCCUAAGCACACAUAUAAGUAGCGGUAACACAUGUGCAUGUUGCAGGUGGUCAGGUUACAUCCCUUCCAGUAGCGAGAAGGGUCCUAGAGUUCAGACGUGGAGGCUCUGGAUAGACCGGUUGCAGGAUAGAGAGGUCAGUAUGUUACUUAAUAAGUUUUUUUAUUUAACCACGAUUUACGAGUUGGGAUCACGAGUUGCCAUGACAUCGUAUCGUUCCGGGUGCAGUUUAUCUGGAUGCCGUACAGUAGCCCUGACGUACUUCAGGUCGUGCAUCCCGAGGUUUUGGAGCCUCGGCAUAUGGUGCUGUGUCGGUCUGUUACAUCGCUUAUCUACUUUGCCGUCAUAGAGUGGCAUCAGGUAGACAGGGUUCUUCCGCAGUUUGGAGGGGUGCAGCCCCGUCCACAGGCCGCCCUGAACAUCGACUUUCUGAUGUCGAAGGACGGCAGAGGCGGCGAUCGAUGGUUCCCGUCCCAUUUGCAGAAGUGGCAUCAGUAUUGGGACGACCGUACAGAGAGCGUGCUGAGAUUCGAUGUUGUUGCUGACCCUGGUCCGUCGUAUCAGUUCUUGGAUUGGUGGAGUCAGCACGGGAAGAGGUUUUUGUCUCCGGAUCCGUAGUUGGGCGAUCCGAGAGCCGUUGCUAUUCCUGUUGAGGCCUCACAGCGGGGAGCUGGGCAAGUACCUGAGAUGGAUCGGCCUGACGACGUGCCGGACAGGAGGCGGGUUGAUAGGAGAGCUCGCGUGGGCACACGUCGUAGCCAGCGUGACUGGGGGUGGCGUGAGCGUGCUAUGGAGGCUGGCGACGAGGCCGGCCCCGCUAGGGGUCGACGACGACAUCAUCCUGGCAGAGGUAGAGAGCGUGCCGUACUUCAUGCCGCUGCACCUGACCCUGAGGACGAUGACGAUGAUCAGCAUGGGCCUGAGGGCGGGGAUGGUGCAGGGGCGGCUUCAGUUGCUGGUGGUAUUACCCAGGAUGGGGUUCACGGAGGUGAGUGGUAUGGCUCCGGGAUGGGUGACGGGGCUGAGCCUAGUGACGCUGGACUUGGGUCCGGUCCUUUUGGACAUUACUUUGUUGGAGUACCCACCGACGACCAGCCUCAGCAGGACGGUACUCCAUCGGUUAUUCCCGGAUCACAGUGGCAAGACUUCCUUGGGGCAGAUACGCUUGAUGCGGACUUCGGCAGUCCACGGUUUCUAGCGGAGAUUUCGGCUAUCAUGCAGGAGGACGAGCCGGGCAGGAGGCGUCCUCAGACCCCUGGCACGCAGGCACCCUUAGAUGUUGAUCGGAACGAGCCUGCUACGACUCCUGUUGGUGACCAGUUUGCUUUGGGAGGUACCCCACAUUCCGCUUACACCGCUGCAUCACAGUCUGUCGCCGGGCCGUCUGCCGCACCACUCCAUUUUACGCCGCCCGCACAGCCUGCCCCGCAUGAAGACGCAGAUGAGAUAGAGGAUAAGGAGCCGUUUAUCCGCAGAGGUCAGAGGCCACGGGUACCCCGUCGUUGUGGGACAGGCUCCCACUUGUUUAGAUGAUUUACAUUUCAUGUAUUUUGGACGUUAGGGUUCACUCAUGUACCAAACCGAUGUGGAUUACUGUUGUUACUUUAGAGCUAUUUUUCCUUGUUGUUUCCUCAUCUUAUUGUACUUAAAAAUCUGGUAUUUACCUAGUGGAUUAGUGACUAUGUAUUAUCAUUGAAUCAUAUAACACUAGUUAUCAACUUUUGCAGUCAUGGGAUUUCUAACCAAAUUCAAAUUCAGAUGCAACUUUUUCAUUACUAGAAGGUAAAAGGAUAAACAGAUAACACAAAUCAUCUUAAAUAACAAGUAACAGGAAAAAUAAAAUCAAUGAACACUAACAAUAACAAGAUCGCUACUACUGGCCCCCCGUGUGAGACGGUCCUCCAAGCUGUGGGCAACUCCUGUGGGUGUGUCCGGGUUGUCGACAAAGGCCACACCUCUUUGGCCGAUUCGGAUCUGCCUCGUCCAUAUUCGUCCGUAUCCUGGUGGAUCUCGGACGACCCUCUCUCGAACGCCUCUUGGCAGGAUCCGGGAUCACGGUUGGCCCGUCGUAAGGUGGCCAGAAUCCUUCCGGUAUCGGCGGUGUGAAUCCCAUCUGGUACACACGGAACACUGAACUAAUCUGAUACACGCUGUGAACAUAAGAGGACCAGGUAACCCGUGAGUAGGCGCAGCAUGCAAGUGCGUGCUGGCACGGGAAAUGAAGUGCCUGGAAGUACCCGCAGUCACAGGUCCGGGACACAAGCGAUACUCUGUAGGUACCCAAUGAGAAAGAGCCCGUCGGAGUGGUCUCGGCUACGGUGAACUCGGAGUUAUCCCGGUCAUACAAAGUCACCGUGAAGCACCGCGAAUUCUUCAAGUUGGCCUCUAUACACUUCACCAAGUACUGACUGAAUUGCUGUCCGGCUCCCAUCUGGGCCUCAGCCUCUCUACCCUUGCGAACAAAGAGUUCCGCAAGCCUUCCAUAUGUUGCCUUCACCAAAGAGCAUACAGGGAGGUUUCUGACACCCUUUAGGAUUGAGUUCACACACUCCGAGAUAUUCGUCGUCAUGUGACCGAAUCUCUGUCCCUCGUCACGAUGCUGAGUCCAUAAGGAAUAAUCAAUCCGGUUCGCCCACUCACACAUCGCCGGGUCUUCAGACCGAAGAAUAUCAAACCAGUAAUCAAACUCAACCUCGGUCUUCGCAUAUGCGGCAUUCACUAGAAGCCUACGUGCAUCCUUGCCCUUGAAGGUAAGGGCAAAAUUAGCCGCUACGUGUCGAAUGCAGAAUGCACGGUAUGCAGAUGGAGGUAACCAACCUCCGUCCGGAGCCUCAAGCGCAGCCUUUAUGCCGUUAUGCCUGUCCGAUAUAACCAGAAGACCGGGCUGCGGUAUCACGUGCUGUCUAAGGUGGGAGAGAAAGAAUGACCAAGACUCUGCAUUCUCACCUUCUACUAGUGCGAAUGCAACGGGUAGAAUGUUGGAGUUCCCGUCCUGUGCAAUCGCGAUGAGCAAAGUACCCCCGUACUUCCCAUACAGAUGGGUCCCGUCAAUGCUAACUAGGGGCUUGCAAUGCCAAAAUUCCUGGAUGAGUGGUGGAAACGUCCAGAAAAGUCUGUGGAAAAAAGCUUGAGACUCGUCUACUUGUCCACUAACUCGAACGGGACUCGUCCGUAGGAUUGCAACAGUACCCGGCAUCGUCAACUGGACUCCCAAAACCCACCUGGGGAGCUCAUUGUAUGACUCAUCCCAGUCACCGUAUACGAGGGCAAAUGCCUUCUGCUUCGCCAUCCAGACCCUCCUGUAAGUCGGCCUAAACCCGAAGUGUGCUGCCGUGGCAUUUAGGAGCACCUUGAUGCUGACGGAUGCAUCAGCCCUAACCAUUGGCAUAACGAACGCGGAAAUCACAUGAUAAUCCAAGCUCCUGUGGUCACUCGAGAUGGAGGUCGCAAGACAAAUGUGAGGUCCAUUGUACCGCUUGACCUCCCAAAUGCCCUUGCGCUUCCGCAGACUCAGUCGAAUCAACCAGGUGCACCCAUUCCCAAACUCAGAACACUUGCCCACAUAACGGCGAUGAUCAGACUCCACAACCUUGUACUGUACCCCUCGCCGGAUGCUGUAAGUCUUCACACUUACCAGGGCCUCGUCUUUAUCCUGAAAUUGCUGACCAACCUGGAACUCUGUCAAACCAGCAGUCCCUUCAGCAUCUCUAGCUCCGAAUCCAACAGAGUGCCCUGAAACACCUUCUUGCCUUAUGGCAUCUAGGUCCAAAGAGGAAAAAUGUGGUGGAUACUGCUGUGUGCCAGAACUAGAACCACCGACUACCAAUGCAGGCUCAGUCGCUCCAACCUCGUCGCCGCUGUCAUCCUCAAUCAUAUCCAGCUCGACGUCGUCCUCCUCUACAUCACCCAACACUCCGUCUCCGACGCCAACCGGUGGAACUCCCUGUAAAGCGUUCGGCAGAAUAUCAACUGAUCCUACCACGUCACCUACUCCAUCAUUCAGAUCAACAGCAAAAGACGGGGAGGCGACUGGUUCGACUGCUGGCUCGUACACAGGGACGGACGAAGAAGCAAUGGCAGGCCUGGAACUCGAACCGGCUGCUGCUGCUUCAGUGGUGGCAUUCCGGUUCGAACCCCCUGAGCUGGAUACCACAUCAACCAACUUUGCCAACAACUCUGGUGUCCUAACCUCGGGAAACUGCCUCCGACAUAGAAACAUGACUUGCAGGUCCUCAUCACUACCAAUCGUGAAGCAAUCAUACUUCACUGUAUCCUGCAAGACAGUGAUUGGAAUGCGAUAGAAAAACUUCUUCACUCGCUUCGCACCUUCCAGACCAAGUUUCAUCAGCACAGAUCUAACAAGAUCAUCAUAGCUCGUCGUUGGUUUCACGACAAUACAGAGAGGAUCCUUAUCUGGGAACUUCACACCGGAGCGAGUUUUCCUCUUAAUGGAUCCUCUAUGGUGAACCAAAACCAUAAAACUCUCCUCACUAGCCAUAUUACACCCUCUAUGAGGGCAACUCACGUUUAGAACCAUAUAUAUACUGCACUGUCUACCACUAAAUCGAACCGGACUGGUUCGAAUUCAGUUUGUGUAAUUCGAACCGGACUGGUUCGAAUUACUUGAUGCAGCUUCUCCCCAUAUAAUUCGAACCAGCUUGGUUCGAACUAUGUGCUACGUUUUCCUCCCAAGUAAUUCGAACCACCCUGGUUCGAUUUACUUGAAUGAAUUUCUCUCUUUAUAAUUCGAACCACCCUGGUUCGAAUUACUCAUGAAUAGAGUUCGAACCACACUGGUUCGAAUUAUAUAAAUAUAGGGUUUGGCUCAUUACAGAAACGAAUUUUACUUUGGCUCAUUUAGGUAAUUUGCAACUUCCCUUGGUUUAUUCUAGUUUUUUGCCCUUUUUUUUAUCUGGAGUUAUAUUUGUAUCUUGCGUUAUACGUGUUUUCUGUGUAUGUCGUCAACGCAUGAUUUGGUAUAGUCAUUUUUUUCGCUAUCUAUUAUUGUCCAUAACAGUGCCCCCUGCUUGAGUUUCUUAACUCUGUGACUUCAUUAAGUAUGCUCAAGCUGAAUGGAUCGGGUCCACUUUUGAUAUUUUUGGAAGAUUUUUUCCUUUUUGCAGGGUCUUUUUUAGUGCCAAAAACUCCUUUGAAAAGACCGCCCAGUUCCUUCAGGCAGCUUUUGCUUCCCCUUAGUUUUUGAAUUGUCGCCCACUUUCUUUUUCUCUCCAUCAAUCAACUAAUUUAAUGAAGCAUUUGCUUUUUAUUAGGAGUGCAUGUGGCCAGGUUCAGUCCGAAGACCUGAUUCGAUCUCAAACAUUUUAGAGGUUAAUUUAGUGUGAUUUUACCGAAUUUAGGGUUGAGUAAGAGUCUCAAAAAUAUACCCUCUCAUUAGGGGUGGCAAACGGGCCUAAACCCGUCAGGCCGGCCCGCAUAACCCGCAAAAAAAGCGGGCUGGGCUGGAAAAUUGAGACCGCCAAAUAGCAAAAGGCCGCCUAACCCGCACCGCCUAAACCGCGGGCUUUGGCGGGGCAGGACGGGCUUCUCCGCCGGGCUUAGUAUUUUUUUUUUUUGCCAAAAUCCAACUUUCCACAACCCAACUUAGAAGAGAAUGAAGAUGAAAAUUGAGUAUUUUGGAUUAUGUUUAUUUUGUUUUAGAGACAAUAUUUAUAAUUAUGUUUUGGAUUAUGUUUAUUUUGCUUUGGGAACAAUAUUUAUAAUUAUGUUUUGGAUGAAAACUUGGUUUCUAAUUAUGUUUAUUAGAUAUUUAUAAUUACAAAGACUUUAAUGUUUGUAAAUAUAAAAAUUAUAAUUUGUUUAUACUUUUAGAAAUUAUAAUAGUUAAAAAUAAAAAACAGAAGAAAUUUUUUAUACCUUUAUAUAUUUUAUAGAGUGUCAUAAAUAAUUUUUUUAUAAAUUAUUGUUAAAAUUUUAAAGACCCAGUUUUCACUCGAUUUAAACUUGGUAUAAUUGUAGCCCGAAAAUAUAAAAAACAGACUUGAUAUAUAUUUAAAGUCAAAUCUGAAUCAAGACAAACCCAAUUUUACCCGGUCAUAAAUACUCUACUUUUUAUUAGUCCCAAAUUUUAAAUUUGUCUCUACCUUAAAAAAUUAUUGUUUACCUUGUUGAAUACUCAUAAACAUAGUUUGCUGAGUAACUUAAUACAAAACCAAAGUUUAAAUGUGACAAGUGUUACUUUUUUUUUAGUUAAUAGUCAAAUUUGUCCCUAAAAGAUCAUCGAUUCUUCAAAUUAGUCCUCAAAUAAUUUUUUUAGUCAUUAAUCCUUGAAAAAUAAAACGUAAGCUAAAUCAGUCCUUCCAUUAGUUAGAGGAUAACGUGUCACGUUAAGUGCCACGUGGCAUGAUGAUGUGUCACGUUAAAUGCCACAUGUCACUAGAUGAUUGGUUGACAUGUCAGGUCAGUGACACUUAGCACGCCACGUGUCACUUGGCAUGUAAAAAAUAUAUUUAUAAAUUAUAAUCAAAAUAAUCCCUGAAAGUCCAAACGUAAGUCAUUUUCAUCCCUAAAAUUUUAAAAAUUAAUAAAAUUAGUCCUUAUAUAAUUUUUAUUUUUUCAUAAUAUUAAAUUUAAAAUAUUUUUUUAUAAUACUAAUUUUAAUAUUAUUUUUAGACCUUAAUAAAUAAAAUUCUCUUUACAUAAAAUAAUAAAAAUAUUUAAAUUAUUAUAAAAUUACUUUGUCAUUUGUAUUUUAAAGUUUUAUAUUUUUAAAUUGUAAGUUUUUUUAUAGUGAAAUUUUUAUUUAAAUAAAUUUAUCAAAUUAUUAUUAAUUAUAUAUUUAAAAAUUUAAUAUUUUAAAUUUUAUUAAAUAAUAUAGUAAUUAUUUUAAAAUUCAAAUCUUUUAAAUUUUUUAAAAUUAUAAUUUAUAUUAUUGUUUAAUUUAUAUGAUAGAACUCAAUAAUUUAAAAAUUGAUUAAGAUGAUAGAACUUAAUAUGUUUAAAAUUCAUUUUGUAUUUUUUGGAGGCCAUCCUGAGGUAUAUAGUAGUGAAAUGAAAAUCUUUAGUUUUCUGUUGCUUCUAACUAGUAGAGCAGGGGUAAAUUUUUUCUCAGUGAUAAUUAUGAAACCAGAAGUUAGUUCUGAAACUAGUUUUUGAUUUGUUUCUCAUAUUAUAUGCACGAUGUAUUCCUUUUGUUCAUGUAAUCAUUUUAUUAGUAUGUAAUCAUUACUAAUUAGAAGCUAAUAGCUCAUCCAAAAUUAUGAAAAUUUAUUGAGUUUUAUCAUAUAAAUUAAAUAAUAAUAUAAAUUAUAAUUUUAAAAAAUUUAAAUUUUAAAAUAACUACUAUAUUAUUUAAUAAAUUUUAAAAUAUUAAAUUUUUAAAUAUAUAAUCAACAAUAAUUUGAUAAACUCAUUUAAAUACAAAAUUUCACUAUAAAAAAAUUUACAAUUUAAAAAUAUAAAAUUUUAAAAUACAAAUAACAAAAUAAUUUUAUAAUAAUUUAAUUAUUUUUAUUAUUUUAUGUAAAGAGAAUUUUUUUUUAUUAAGGUCUAAAAAUAAUAUUAAAAUUAAUACUAUAAAAAAUAUUUUAAAUUUAAUAUUAUAAAAAAAUAAAAAAAUUAUAUAAAGACUAAUUUGAUUAAUUUUUAAAAAUUUUAGGUAUGAAAAUUACUUACAUUUGAAUUUUCAAGAACUAUUUUGAUUAUGAAUAUCUUUUUUACAUGUCAAGUGACACGUGGCGUGUUAGGUGUCACUGACCUGACACGUCAACCAAUCAUCUGGUAACACAUGGCACUUAACGUGACACGUCAUUAUUUAACUAUCGGAAAGACUAAUUUGACUUACGUUUUAUCUUUCAAAAACUAAUAUGACUAAAAAAAUUAUUUGAGAACUAAUUUAAAAAUUUGAUAAUCUUUCAAGACAAAUUUAGCUAUUAACCCUUACUUUUUCAGUUGAUGGUCAAAAUAUGAGCAAUCUAUAGUCACGGUCAUCCAAAGCUUAGCCAUCAACUUGAGCCUUAAUAAUAAUAUUAUAUAGAGGAGAAAAGGAAAAAUCCAAAAUUCUAAAUAUAGACUUGAUCAUUCAACCAUGUUAAUUAUUGAUUUAUUAAUUUAAUCGAUUCUACGACAGUUUAACCAAAAUAACUAUUUUAUAAUAAAAUAAUAAAUAAAAUAAAUAAAUAUAUAUACCAAAUAUUACUAAUCCUAAUUUGCCACUAAACCACAUGGUAACGGUAAAAGUAGCAGCAAGGGUUUAGUGGUGUGAGCAACCCUUCUUCCUUAAUUGUAUUCAUUUUACUCAUUAAUUACAUACUGUUUCGCCACUGUACUCGUCUUCUACAUUAGUUUUGCUUCUAAUUUUUUUAAUUAUUUUAUUUUUGUGUUUUUCCUAUUUAAUUAAAUUGUGUUUAAAAUACUAUUAAUNNNNNNNNNNNNNNNNNNNNNNNNNNNNNNNNNNNNNNNNNNNNNNNNNNNNNNNNNNNNNNNNNNNNNNNNNNNNNNNNNNNNNNNNNNNNNNNNNNNNNNNNNNNNNNNNNNNNNNNNNNNNNNNNNNNNNNNNNNNNNNNNNNNNNNNNNNNNNNNNNNNNNNNNNNNNNNNNNNNNNNNNNNNNNNNNNNNNNNNNNNNNNNNNNNNNNNNNNNNNNNNNNNNNNNNNNNNNNNNNNNNNNNNNNNNNNNNNNNNNNNNNNNNNNNNNNNNNNNNNNNNNNNNNNNNNNNNNNNNNNNNNNNNNNNNNNNNNNNNNNNNNNNNNNNNNNNNNNNNNNNNNNNNNNNNNNNNNNNNNNNNNNNNNNNNNNNNNNNNNNNNNNNNNNNNNNNNNNNNNNNNNNNNNNNNNNNNNNNNNNNNNNNNNNNNNNNNNNNNNNNNNNNNNNNNNNNNNNNNNNNNNNNNNNNNNNNNNNNNNNNNNNNNNNNNNNNNNNNNNNNNNNNNNNNNNNNNNNNNNNNNNNNNNNNNNNNNNNNNNNNNNNNNNNNNNNNNNNNNNNNNNNNNNNNNNNNNNNNNNNNNNNNNNNNNNNNNNNNNNNNNNNNNNNNNNNNNNNNNNNNNNNNNNNNNNNNNNNNNNNNNNNNNNNNNNNNNNNNNNNNNNNNNNNNNNNNNNNNNNNNNNNNNNNNNNNNNNNNNNNNNNNNNNNNNNNNNNNNNNNNNNNNNNNNNNNNNNNNNNNNNNNNNNNNNNNNNNNNNNNNNNNNNNNNNNNNNNNNNNNNNNNNNNNNNNNNNNNNNNNNNNNNNNNNNNNNNNNNNNNNNNNNNNNNNNNNNNNNNNNNNNNNNNNNNNNNNNNNNNNNNNNNNNNNNNNNNNNNNNNNNNNNNNNNNNNNNNNNNNNNNNNNNNNNNNNNNNNNNNNNNNNNNNNNNNNNNNNNNNNNNNNNNNNNNNNNNNNNNNNNNNNNNNNNNNNNNNNNNNNNNNNNNNNNNNNNNNNNNNNNNNNNNNNNNNNNNNNNNNNNNNNNNNNNNNNNNNNNNNNNNNNNNNNUGAUUGAUGUUAAUAUAAUAUUAUUAUUUCAAGAUAAAUAUACAAAAAUAAAGAUAUAAUAAAAAAAUAAAAAUUAAUAUAAAAAAAAUAAUAUUUCGAUCUUUGAUGCACUGCAAACAAAUUGACGUAAAUAGCAAUGAUUUUUUUAUGCAACACAUUUGUUUCAAAAAUUCUCUAGAAUUACUAUCCUAUUCUUUUAUAACUGGUUUAAAAUGUGUUAUGGCCCAGCCCAGCUGGUGUUCAGUCUAACCCGACCCGGGCGGCCAGAUCAAUGGACGUCGAACCUGAGCCGGGAAACCGAUCCUGACACCUGUUUUCCAGCUCACCACACAACGACUGUGCAGGAAAAUUUCGAGGAAGGUGGGUCUAUCUUUGCGAGACCCACUUCUGACAUGGUAUAUAUAGGGAGGGCCCUACCCCUCCUCCAAUGUACGUCAUUACCACCCUCACUCCCGUAGCCAUCUAUAUCAUCUCCUGACUUGAGCGUCGGAGUAUCAUUGCAGGUGGCGCCCUCCUCCUCUCAUCGCAACAGCUCGUGAAAUUGUGAAACCUCAACACCCCUUUUCUGGACCCAUACCAAGGCUGGUUUCUAUCACUCUACUUUCAGAGCUCCACCGACCCAUCUGGAACCCGAAGAAUCGAACAUUAGCGCCGUCUGUGGGAACCAGCCAAGAUGGACUUUCUGUUGGGUCCUGUAGAGGCAGAAGACGGAGGCGAACCACGCGGGGAGGAAAUGGUCCCCAGAACAAGCAAGGUAGCCUCCGUGGUUUCCUCUCGUGAACGCACAAGAUCCCCACUGCGCAACCCAAGCUCCCUUCGCGCUCCCACAAGAGGCGACCCUUUGGAGGGACAGGUAGUGACAGCGCCAGAAUAAUACAGGAGCUGCGCCACAGAGUGCAAAACCUGGAGUGAGAGGUGGCUAGCAGAGAGCACCACCAACCAGCUCCGAGGCAAGAGCGUUCUCGAUCUCCUCAAAGGAGAGGGAGAAGCCCUCGAAGGAGCCGCUCCAGACGCACCUCGAGCCCCCGAUCGGAGUUAGAGAGCCAAGGAGAAAGCAGGGAAGUGCCGAGAAGACGGAGAGAUCCCGUAAUUUACACCCGACCUCCGACAAGAAAUAACGUGAAGGAAAAUCGAGAGGACAGCAGAGAAAGACCAAGGAGAAGGCGACAACCUGUAAUCAUGGGGGCAACCCCGUUCCACCAUUCGAUCCUCGAGGUCCGGCUACCGAAGCACUUCGAUAAGCCAACGAACAUGAGGUAUGAUGGGACCCAAGACCCCCAAGAGCAUCCAACGGCCUUCGAGGCCAGGAUGAACUUGGAAGGGGUAGGCGAUGAAGUGAGAUGCCGCGCCUUUCCCGUCACCCUAGCGGGCCCGGCAAUACGUUGUUUCAACGCCCUCCCCCAAGGCUUCGUGACGACCUUCGCGGACAUCACCCGCGCCUUCCUAGCUUAGUUUACCACACGUAUUGCUAAAGCGAAGCACCCGAUCAACUUGCUCGGGGUGACACAGAGAACUAGCGAACCGACCAGGAAGUACCUGGAUAGGUUCAAUGAUGAAUGCUUGGAGAUUGACGGCCUAACCGACUCGGUGCCCAGUUUGUGAUUGACGAACGGGUUGCUGAACGAGGAUUUUAGGAAACACCUCACCACCAAGCCCGUGUGGACAAUGCAAGAAAUCCAAAACGUGGCUAGGGAGUAUAUCAAUGAUGAGGAGGUUAGCCAGGUCGUGGCAGCCAACAAGCGAGAGCCCGCCUACAGCCAUGCCCGUCAGCCCAGAAAAGGCCUAGGGAACACUCCAAGGACGAAGCUCCAGCUAAAAUCUUCAAGCCAUUCCCCCGAGUAGGAAAGUUUACCAACUAUACCCCCCUUGGCAGCCCCAAUUAUUGAAGUUUAUCAGCAGAUCGCCGACAAAGGCAUCCUGUCGAAGCCCCGACAACUCAAUGAUAGGACGGGAGGAAACAAAAACCUCUAUUGCAACUACUACAAGAACUACGGCCACAAGACCCAAGAUUGUUUCGACCUGAAAGAUGCUCUAGAGCAGGCGAUCCGGGAAGGGAAGUUGGCCGAAUUCUCCCACCUUAUAAGAGAACCCCGGAGACAGGAUCACGAUCGAUCUAGCGACAACAAGAACCGCGCCGUGAGACAGAAGCAAGAACCCGAGGAGGACAAUGAGCGCGGCCUCACUAUUGUAAAUAUUGUAGCCGGGAGAGAUGUUCCGCCCAGGUCGAAGUCGGCAAGAAGAAAAGACGCAAAAGUGUUAGUCGUGUCAUUAUCUAGCCCCGCGCCUCCCUCCAGGAGGGUACCAUCGAUAUCGUCCGGGCCCGAGGACCAAUGGUUCGACGACUUACUGGAGAACCCUCCCAUGGUAAUCACAGCUAGAGUUGGAACCGGCCUAGUAAAGCGAAUUCUAGUAGACACUGGAGCUUAUUCGAACAUCAUGUUUCGCAACAUGUUUGAUGCUUUAGGCCUCCAAGACGCCGACCUGAAGACCCACCAACACGGUGUGGUUGGCUUGAGCGACAACUUUAUUAAGCCUGAUGGGAUAGUCUCCCUACCGAUCUCAAUAGGAGAAGGCCGAGAGAAAAGGUCGGUAAUGGCGGAGUUCGUCGUUUUAAGGGACUCCACGGCCUACAACAUCAUCUUGGGUAGAAAAACCAUCAAUGAGUUUGGAGCAGUAAUUUGUACUAAGCUACUGGUGAUGAAGUUUGUUUCUGAUAAUGCGUUAAUUGGAUCUGUCAGGGGAGAUUUGAAAACGGCGGUCGCUUGCGACAACGCCAGUCUCUCCCUAAGGAAGAAAUCCAAAGAAGCAUCCGGGUCUUCUUGGCUGACCUAAACGCACGAGUCGACGACAAACCAAGACCAGAAUCUGAAGGAGACCUCAAGAAAUUUAGGGUCGGCGACUCGAAAAAAAGUUCACAUUCAUAAACAGGAACCUCCCUCAUGACCUAAAAAAACCAUUGGUGGAAAUGAUCCGGGCAAAUGGCGACCUAUUCGCCUGUACACCAGCCAACAUGCAAGGAAUCGACCCCCAGAUCAUGUCGCACCACCUGUCUGUGAAGACAGAGGCUAAGCCCGUGGCGCAAAGGAGGAGGAAAAUGUUCCAAGAAAGAGCUAGUGAGGUGGCCAGGCAAAUGGCCAGCCUGCUAGAGGCAGGGUUCAUCCGGGAACUCGACUACUUGACUUGGCUGUCGAAUGUAGUCCUAUUUAAAAAGUCCAGCGGAAAAUGGAUAAUGUGCGUGGACUAUUUCGACCUCAACAAGGCGUGCCCCAAGGAUUCUUUUCCCCUCCCUAAUAUUGAUGGUCUUGUUGACGUGACUGCGGGAUACCGGUAUCAGUGUUUCAGUGUUUCAUGGACGCAUAUUCUGGUUACAACGAAAUACCGAUGUACCGGCCAGAUGAAGAGAAGACGGCGUUCAUAAUGCAGGGGGAACAUACCGCUACAAGGUGAUGCCGUUUGGGCUGAAGAACGCAGGAGCUACGUACCAAAGGCUGAUGAAUAAGAUAUUCAACGAUCUUAUCGGUAAGACGGUGGAAGUGUACGUAGAGGACAUUCUGGUAAAGACCACCAAGGUUGGGGACCACAUCGGCGAUCUAGAGAACGUGUUCGCAUCUCUUCGGCGACACGGCAUGAGGCUUAACCUGCUCAAGUGCGCUUUUGCCAUGAAAGUUGACAAAUUCUUGGAGUUUAUGAUAACCCAAAGAGGAGUAGAGGCAAACCCGAAGAAAUGCAAGGCAAUCUUACAAAUGAAGAGCCCAGGAUGCGUAAAAGACGUCUAGAGAUUAGCAGGAAGACUCACCGCACUAUCUCGCUUCCUCGGCGCAUCGGCCGCCAAAGCUCUGCCAUUCUUCAACUUGAUGAGAAAAGGGGUAGUGUUCGAGUGGACUCCGGCAUGUGAAGAAGCCUUCAAGCACUUCAAGGAGAUAAUCUAGGCACUGCCUGUCCUCGAGAAACCUAUAAAUGGAGAAGCACUGUACUUGUACUUAGCAAUAACCGAUGAGGCAUUAGCAACAGUCCUGGUGCGAGAAGAAGGAAAGAUCCAGCAACCAAUCUAUUUUGUAAGUAAGGCGUUACAAGGCGCGGAAUUGAGGUACAGUAAGCUGGAGAAGCUAGCAUAUGCACUCUUGACCUCCUCUUGCAGGCUGCGACAGUACUUCCAAUCACACCAGAUAAUCGUCAAGACGGACCAGGCAAUCCGCCAAGCACUCCAAAAACCCGAUCUGGCAGGCAGAAUGAUGACUUAGGCAGUCGAACUGUCUCAGUACGACUUGCAGUACGAACCCAGCCAAGCGAUUAAGGCCAAAGCCAUGGCUGACUUCCUGGUAGAGGUAACGAGAAGACUCCCCGAGACACCGAGCACGCGGUGGAAGCUCUAUGUGGACGGAGCCUCCAACCAAACGUCCGGGGGAGCGGGGAUCAUCCUGAAAAGCCCAACCGGGGUCAUAUAUGAGCAAUCAAUCAAGUUUGAAUUUCUGGUGUACAACAAUCAGGCAGAAUACGAGGCCCUUCUUGGCGGCCUAGUUCUGGCAAGAGAAGUCGGGGCCACAAGAGUAGAAGUGUGUAGUGACUCUCAGGUCGUGACUUCACAGAUCAAUGGAACGUACCAAGCCAGAGAUUCACUGUUGCAGAAAUAUUUGGAGAGAGUCAAAAAGCUGAGCGAGCAGUUCGACGAGGUCACGGUGCAGCACGUUCCGAGAGAGCAGAACUCCCGGGCGGACCUCCUCUCAAAACUGGCGAGCACAAAGCCAGGAAUAGGCAACCGAUCCCUGAUUCAAGGUUUAUUGAAAGAACCAACGGUGACCCUGCAUGUAACACGGGCAACCGACCCUCCCUCCUUGGUGGACCCAAUCAUUGAUUUCUUAGAAAUGGGUAAGCUCCAGGAUGGCGACAAGACGGCAAAAGCGCUAAGAAGAGAAGCGGCCAAGUAAGCGAUAAUACAAUGCUAACUGUUUACGAAAGGGCUCAGCCAGCCCCUAUUGAAGUGCCUGCGCCCCGAUCAAACGGACUAAGUGUUAAGGGAGGUCCUUGAGGGAUGUUGUGGCCACCACAUCUGGGGAAAGGCCCUAGCCCGAAAGCUCGUCAGUGUCGGCUAUUAUUGGCCCUCCAUGAUGGCGGAUUCCAAAGAGUUUAUGAAGAAGUGCAGAAGAUGCCAGGAGAACACCAACUUCCACAAAGCGCCUGCGACCAAAUUAAGCUUACUGAUGGCCUCUCGACUAUUUUCACAUUGAGGAGUCGAUCUGUUAGGGCCUUUCCCAGUCGGACCGGGACAGGUCAAGUACCUGAUUGUCGCCAUCGACUAUUAUACUAAGUGGGUAGAGGCCGAGCUGCUGGCCAGCAUAUCCUCGGCUAAUUGUCAGAAGUUCAUGUGGAGACAAAUAAUAGCCAGAUUUGGAGUCCCGGAGGUCGUCAUCUCGAACAAUGGGACAUAGUUUGCCGAUAAAAAAUUUGGAGAGUUUUUCGCCGGCUUGGGCAUAAGACAGAAAUUCUCGUCUGUUGAGCACCCCCAAACCAACGACCAAGUCGAAGCUGCGAACAGGGUCAUCCUACAAGGCCUCAAGAAGCGACUUGACCAAAAGAAGGGGGCAUGGACAGCGGAGUUAGCCUCGGUCCUCUGGUCCUAUCGCACAACUCAACAGUCGUCUACUGGGGAGACACCCUUCCGGCUCACCUAUGGGGUGGACGCGAUAAUACCCGUGGAGAUCGGAGAUCGGAGAACCGAGCCCACGACCACUCUUGGGAGGAUUAGAAAAGGCCAUGGAAAAGUACUUGGUGUAUGAGGCUAGAGAGAUGGCCCACUUGUCGGAAACAUCGUUGAAACAAAGGAUAGCCCUGCGUUACAACGCCAGAGUACUCAAGAGAGAGUUUGAGCAACGCGACCUGGUCUUACGACACAAUGAUGUCGGACUUAAAUUGGCAGCGAAUUGGGAAGGCCCGUACAGGGUAAAGGAAGUGCUCAAAAACGACGCAUACAAACUGGAACGAUUAGACGGCAGAGAAGUGCCGAGGACCUGGAACGCGAGCAAUCUAAAGAGAUUCGAUUCCUAGUGCCGGUCUAAUCGGUUUAGUAAGACACGUAUCACUAUGUUUGGAUUAUUUACCAUUAAUUGUUUAAUUGGAAUUCGUCGUUCCCUUUUCUAUCGUUAUUUAAUUGUUUCAUACUUAUUGGAACCAUUAAUUGGACGCAUUAACGACACGGUAUCCCAAGACUGAUCACCUCGGGAAAGACUGGAGUAGCAAGUGCUACAAUAGACGGCCACUAGAACGGUAAAAGCCACGACCUGGCUACAUUAAUUACUAACAGAACAUUAAAUAAGUAUAAACAAAUAGCUAAUUACCAGUAAAGCGGUAAGAAAACAUCAAACAAGUUAAUUACCGAUAAAGCGGCGAAUGAACAGUUUGUUGCAUACCGACAAAAUGGCGAACAAGUUUGCCAAAACUACAAAGUAUUCAAAGAUGUACAAGUUACAAGGUCCAAACAAAAGUACAAGUGAGAUCACAUCAUUUCUUCGGAAUAUCAACUAGCUUGCCAUCCUUGAUGGUCUUGAAAACGCUAACGGCAGAGGUGUCGAAGUCGAAAGCUAACAACUUCACCUGAGCCUUGAUAGCCUCCUCGGUCAUCAAGAUGGCAUUCUUACCUUGUUUCACGGUCUCUUUGUACUUCUUCUUCAGAUCAGUUGCUUCGGUCUUGGCCGCGGUCGCCGAGGAAAGAGCCUCCUCACGCUCCUUCACCCGACCUUGAGCGGCGUUGAGCUGACCCUCCAAGGAAAGCUCCCGCUCGGUAAAACGCACUACGGCAGCAUCAGAUGUCUUAAGCUUCUCCUCGGUUGUAGCUAACUGUGUCUAGAGUGACUUGACCUCAACCUUAUACUUUUUAUUAGCUUGGACAGAUCACUCAAGCUUAUUCUCCAGCGAUCGUUCCCCAGCCAAAACGUUCUCCAUCUGGCCUGAGAGGAGAGAUCCCCACCGUGAAAGAAGUCCUCUGUGCCAAGGAGCAGCUGGGAAUCAAUGAAGUUUCCGGCAUCGAAGUUCUUCUCUAUCAUCGUGAGGACUCCCUCGGGGCUAGAAGACAGUUUCCUCUUCUUUGCGUUGUGAAUAACAAUCACAUAUUCAUCCUCCACCUCAACCUCUGGUUGGAGACCCGGACCAGCACUGUUUCCGAUCACCUCACCUUGGGUGGGUUAGGACUGAACCUCGGCCUCGACGGCGUCAUUGAGAGGCACCUCGUGGUUAGGAGUAGCAGAGGCAUCAUCAUUAUCAUCAGCAAGGAAUGUAUUAAACAAAGCGUCAAGUCCAACUUGCUCACCAGCCAUCGAUACUGAAACAAAACAUGGAAGCUAGUUAGUCGUUAAACUAAAAAAAAGAGGGUAAUAGCAAACACGGGUGCACCACUAGACAACUACUCACAUAUAUAACUCCUAGUCAUAUCCUGAUCGCCCAUGAGGAGAUGGGGAUUAACAUGAUUCUUCUCGAAAACGGCUAACAACACGUCGACGACCCUCUUAUUUUCGGGAGGCAACCCUUUAUACGUCACCUUGGUAAAGGCAUUAGCUCCCGCCCAGAAACUCCCGUGGGUCGAGACGCGACGUUCUCCCUCCAAUGUCAACCAAAAGUUGGACUUGACGCUUUGCUUAAUACGUUCCUUGCUGAUGAUAGUGAUGAUGCCUCUGCCACUCCUAACCACGAGGUGCCUCCCAAUGACGCUGUCGAGGCCGAGGUUCAGUUUCAACCCACUCAAGGUGAGGUGAUCGGGACCAGUGCUGGUCCGGGUCCCCAACCAGAGGUUGAAGUGGAGGAUGAAGAGGUGAUUGUUAUUCACAACUCGAAGAAGAGAAAACCGUCUUCUAGUCCCGAGGAAGUCCCCACGGUGAUGGAGAACUUCGAUGUCAAAAACUUCAUUGAUUCCCAACUGCUCCCUGGCACGGAGGACUUCUUCCACGGUGGGAUCUCUCCUCUCAGGCCAGAUGGAUGUACCGCACCUUGCUCCGAGGAGCCGCCAUAGCGAGAAAAGCGGAAACCGCUUUAGCUGGGGCAUGAUCGCUGGAGAACAAGCUAUGGGAUGCGACGUUCUCCCUCCAAUGUCAACCAAAAGUUGGACUUGACGCUUUGUUUAAUACGUUCCUUGCUGAUGAUAGUGAUGAUGCCUCUGCCACUCCUAACCACGAGGUGCCUCCCAAUGACGCUGUCGAGGCCGAGGUUCAGUCCCAACCCACUCAAGGUGAGGUGAUCGGGACAAGUGCUGGUCCGGGUCCCCAACCAGAGGUUGAAGUGGAGGAUGAAGAGGUGAUUGUUAUUCACAACCCGAAGAAGAGGAAACCGUCUUCUAGCCCCGAGAGAGUCCCCACAGUGAUGGAGAACUUCGAUGUCAAAAACUUCAUUGAUUCCCAGCUGCUCCCUGGCACGGAAGACUUCUUCCACGGUGGGAUCUCUCCUCUCAGGCCAGAUGGAUGUAUCACACCUUGCUCCGAAGAGCCGCCAUAGCGAGAAAAGCGGAAGCCGCUUUGGCUGGGGCAUGAUCGCUGGAGAACAAGUUUGAAUCAUCUGUCCAACCUAAUAACAAGUAUAAGGUUGAGGUCAAGUCACUCCAGACGCAGCUAGUUGUAGCCGAGGAGAAGGUUAAGACCUCCGAUGCUGCCGUAGCACGUCUUACCGAGCGAGAGCUUUCCUUGGAGGGUCAGCUCAACGCCGCUCAAGGUCGGCUGAAGGAGCUUGAGAAGGAGCGUGAUGAGGCUCUUUCUUCGACGACCGCGGCCAAGACCGAAGCAGCUGAUCUGAAGAAGAAGUACAAAGAGACCAUGAAGCAAGGUAAGAACGCCAUCCUGAUGACCGAGGAGGCUAUCAAGGCUCAGGUGAAGCUGUUAGCUCCCAACUUCGACACCUCUGCCGUUAGCGUUUUCAAGACCAAGGAUGGUAAGCUAGUUGAUAUUCCGAAGAAAUGAUGUGAUCUCACUUGUACUUUUGUUUGGACCUUAUAACUUGUACAUCUUUGAAUACUUUAGUAGUUUUGGCAAACUUGUUCGCCGUUUUGUCGGUAUGCAACAAACUGUUCAUUCGCUGCUUUAUCGGUAAUUAACUUGUUUGAUGUUUUUUUACCGCUUUACUGGUAAUUAGCUAUUUGUUUAUACUUGUUUAAUGUUCCGUUGGUAAUUAAUGUAGCCAGGUCGUGGCUUUUACCAUUCUAGUGGCCGUCUAUUGUAGCACUUGCUACUCCAGUAGUUCCCGGGAUCAGUCCCGGGAUACCGUGUCCAAAAUGCAUCCAAUUAAUGGUUCCAAUAAGUAUGAAACAAUUAAUAAGUAUGAAACAAUUAAACAACGAUAGAAAAGGGAACGGCGAAUUCUAAUUAAACAAUUAAUGAUAAAUAGUCCAAACAUAGUGAUACGGGUCUUACUAGACCGAUUAGACCGACACUAGGAAUAGAAUCUCCUUAGGUUGCUUGCGUUCCAGGUCCUCGACACUUCUCUGCCGUCCAAUCAUUCCAGUUUUUAGGCGACAUUGCCACAUCCCUCAUGGACCUCCCUUAACACGUAGUCCGUUUGGUCGGGGCGCAGACACUUUAAUAGGGGCUGGCUGAGCCCUUUGUUAAACAGUUGGCCUUGUAUUAUCGCAUACUUGACCGCUUCUCUUAGCGCUUUUGCCGUCUUGUCGUCAUCCGGGUGCUUACCCAUUUCCAUGAAAUCAAUGAUUGGGUCCACCCAGGAGGGAAGGUCGGUUGCCCGUGUUACAUGCAGGAUCACCGUUGGUUCUUUCACUAAACCUUAAAUCAGGGACCGGAUGGUCCCUCAUGGACCUCCCUUAACACGUAGUCCGUUUGGUCGGGGCGCAGGCACUUCAAUAGGGACUGGCUGAGCCCUUUCUUAAAUAGUUGGCCUUGUAUUAUCGCAUACUUGGCCGCUUCUCUUCUUAGCGCUUUUGCCGUCUUGUCGUCAUCCAGAAGCUUACCCAUUUCCAAGAAAUCAAUGAUUGGGUCCACCCAGGAGGGAGGGUCGGUUGCCCGUGUUACAUGCAGGGUCACCAUUGGUUCUUUCACUAAACCUUGAAUCAGGGACCGGUUGCUUGGCUUUGUGCUCGCCAGUUUUUAGAGGAGGUCCGCCCGGGUGUUCCGCUCUCUCGGAACGUGCUGUACCGUGACCUCAUCGAACUGCUCACUCAGCUUUUUCACUCUCUCCAAAUAUUUCUGCAAUAGUGAGUCUCUGGCUUUAUACGUUCCAUUGAUCUGUGAAGUCACGACCUGAGAGUCGCUACACACUUCUACGCUAGUGGCCCGGACCUCUCUUGCCAGAACUAGGCCGUCAAAAAGGGACUCGUAUUCCGCCUGAUUGUUGGACACCGGGAAUUCAAACUUGAACGAUUGCUCAUUUACGACCCCGAUUGUGCUUUCUAGGAUGAUCCCCGCUCCCCCAGACGUUUAGUUGGAUGCUCCGUCCACAUGGAGCUUCCACCGUGUGCUCGGUGUCUCGGGGAGUCUUCCCGUUACCUCUACCAGAAAGUCAGUCAUGGCUUGGGCCUUAAUCGCUUGCCUGGGUUCAUACUGCAAGUCGUAUUGAGACAGUUCGACUGCCCAGGUCAUCAUUCUGCCCACCAGAUCAGAUUUCUGGAGUACUUGGCGGAUUGCCUAGUCCGUCCUGACGAUUAUCUGGUGUGAUUGGAAGUACUGUCGCAGCCUGCAAGAGGAGGUCAAGAGUGCAUAUGCUAGCUUCUCCAGCUUACUGUACCUCAAUUCCGCGCCUUGUAACGCCUUACUUACAAAAUAGAUUGGUUGCUGGAUCUUUCCUUCUUCUCGCACCAGGACUGUUGCCAAUGCCUCAUCGGUUAUUGCUAAGUACAGGUACAGUGCUUCUCCAUUUAUAGGUUUCCCGAGGACAGGCGGUGCCGAGAUUAUCUCCUUGAAGUGGUUGAAUGCUUCUUCACACGCUGGGGUCCACUCGAACACUACCUUUUUUCUCAUCAAGUUGAAGAAUGGCAGAGCUUUGGCGGCCGAUGCGCCGAGGAAGCGGGAUAGUGCGGUGAGUCUUCCUGCCAAUCUCUGGACGUCUUUUACGCAUCCUGGGCUCUUUAUUUGUAAGAUUGCCUCGCAUUUCUCCGGGUUGGUCUCUACUCCUCUUUUGGUUGUCAUAAACCCCAAGAAUUUGCCAGCUUCCAUGGCGAAGGCGCACUUGAGCUGGUUAAGCCUCAUGCCGUGUCGCCGAAGAGAUGCGAACACGUUCUCUAGAUCGCCGAUGAGGUCCCCAGCCUUGGUGGUCUUUACCAGAAUGUCGUCUACGUACACUUCCACCGUCUUGCCAAUAAGAUCGUUGAAUAUCUUAUUCAUCAGCCUUUGGUACGUAACUCCUGCGUUCUUCAGCCCAAACGGCAUCACCUUGUAGCAGUAUGUUCCCCCUGGCGUUAUGAACGUCGUCUUCUCUUCAUCUGGCCGGUGCAUCAGUAUCUGGUUAUAACCAGAAUAUGCGUCCAUGAAACACAGAUACCGAUAUCCCGCAGGCGCGUCAACAAGACCAUCAAUAUUUGGGAGGGGAAAAGAAUCCUUGGGGCACGCCUUGUUGAGGUCGGAAUAAUCCACGCACAUUCUCCAUUUACCUCUGGGUUUUUUAACUAGGACUACAUUCGACAGCCAAGUCAAGUAGUCGAGUUCCCAGAUGAACCCUGCUUCUAGCAGCCUGGCCGUUUGCCUGGCCACCUCGCUAGCUCUUUCUUGGGACAUUUUCCUCCUCCUUUGUGCCACGGGCUUAGCCUCUGCCUUCACAGCCAGGUGGUGCGACAUGAUCUGGGGGUCGAUUCCUGGCAUGUCGGCUGGUGUCCAGGCGAACAGGUCACCGUUUGCCCGGAUCAUUUCCACCAAUGGUUCUUUUAGGUUGUGAGGGAGGUUCUUAUUUACGAAUGUGAACUUUUCUUUCGAGUCGCCGAUCCUAAAUUUCUCGAGGUCUCCUUCAGGUUCUGGCCUGGGUUUGUCGUCGACUCGUGCGUCUACGUCAGCCAAGAAGACCCCGGAUGCUUCUUUGGAUUUUUUCCUUAGGGAGAGACUGGCGUGUCGUCGCAAGCGACCGCCGUUUCCAAAUCUCCCCUGAUAGAUCUAAUUGACCCAUUAUCAGAAACAAACUUCAUCACUAGUAUCUUAGAACAAAUUACUGCUCCAAACUCAUUGAUGGUUUCCUGCCCAAGAUGAUGUUGUAGGCCGUGGAGUCCCUUAAAACAACGAACUCCGCCAUUACCGACCUUUUCUCUCGGCCUCCUCCUAUUGAGAUCGGUAGGGAGACUAUCCCAUCAGGCUUAAUAAAGUUGUCGCCCAAGCCAACCACACCGUGUUGGUGGGUCUUUAGGUCGGCGUCUUAGAGGCCUAAAGCAUCAAACACGUUACGGAACAUGAUGUUCGAAUCAGCUCCAAUGUCUAGUAGAAUUCGCUUUACUAGGCCGAUUCCAACUCUAGCUGUGAUCACCAUGGGAGGGUUCUCCGGUAAGUCGUCGAACCAUUGGUCCUCGGGCCCAAACGAUAUUGACGGUACCCUCCUGGAGGGAGGCGCGGGGCUAGAUGAUGACACGGCUAACACUUUUGCGUAUUUUCUUCUUUCCGACUUCGACCUGGGCAGAACAUCUCUCCCGACUACAACAUUUCCAAUAGUGAGGCCGCGCUCAUUGUCCUCUACGGGUUCUUGCCUCUGCCUCACGGCGUGGUUCUUGUCGUGGCCAGAUCGAUCGUGAUCCCAUCUCCAGGGUUCUCUUAUAAGGGUGGGAGAAUUCGGCCAACUUCCCUUCCCGGAUCGCCUGCUCUAGAGCAUCUUUCAGGUCAAAACAAUCUUGGGUCUUGUGACCGUAGCCCUUGUGGUAGUCGCAAUAGAGGUUUUUGUUUCCUCCCAUCCUGUCCUUGAGUUGCCGAGGCUUCGACAGGAUGCCUUUGUUGGCGAUCUGCUAAUAGACUUCAACAAUUGGGGCUGCCAAGGGGGUAUAGUUGGUAAACUUCCAUACCCGGGGAAACGGCUUGAAGGUUUUAGCUGGAGCUCCGUCUUUGGAGUGUUCCCUAGGCCUUUCCCUGCUACCGGGCUGACAGGCAUGGCUGUAGGCGGGCUGCCGCUUGUUGGCUGCCACGACCUAGCUAACCUCCUCAUCAUUGAUAUACUCCCUAGCCACGUUUUGGAUUUCUUGCAUUGUCCACACGGACUUGGUGGUGAGGUGUUUCCUAAAAUCCUCGUUCACAACCCGUUCGUCAAGCAGAAACUGGCCACCGAGUCAGUUAAGCCGUCAAUCUCUAAGCACUCGUCAUUGAACCUAUCUAGGUACUUCCUGGUCGGUUCGCCAGUUCUCUGUGUCACCCCGAGCAAGUUAAUCGGGUGCUUCGCUUUAGCAAUACGUGUGGUAAACUGAGCUAGGAAGGCGUGGGUGAUGUCCGCGAAGGUCGUCACGGAGCCUUGGGGGAGGGGGUUGAACCAACGUAUUGCCGAGCCCGCUAGGGUGACAGGGAAGGCGUGACAUCUCACUUCAUCGCCUACCCCUUCCAAGUUCAUCCUGGCCUCGAAAGCCGUUAGAUGCUCUUGGGGGUCUUGGGUCCCAUCAUACCUCAUGUCCAUUGGCUUAUCGAAGUGCUUCAGUAGCCGGACCUCGAGGAUCGAAUGGUGAAACGGGGUUUCCCCCAUGAUUACAGGUUGUCACCUUCUCCUUGGUCUUUCUCUGCUGUCCUCUCGAUUUUCCUCCACGGUAUUUCUUGUCGGAGGUCGGGUGUAACUUAUGGGAUCUCGCCGUCUUCUCGGCACUUCCCUGCUUUCUCCUUGGCUUUCUGACUCCGAUCGGGGGCUCGGGGUGCAUCUGGAGCGGCUCCUUCGGGGGCUUCUCCCUCUCCUUUGAGGAGAUCGAGAACGCUCUUGCCUCGGAGCUGGUUGGUGGCGCUCUCUGCUAGCCACCUCCCGCUCCAGGUUUUGCAUUCUGUGGCGCAACUCCUGUAUUAUUCUGGCGCUGUCACUACCUGUUCCUCCAAAGGGUCGCCUCUCGUGGGAGCGCGAAGGGAGCUCAGGUUGUCGCAGGGGGGAUCUUGUGCGUUCGCGAGAGGAAGCCACGGAGGCUACCUUGCCGAUUCUGGGGACCAUUUUCUCCCCGCGUGAUUCGCCUCCGUCGUCAGCCUCUACAUGACCCAACAGAAAGUCCAUCUUGGCCGGUUCCCACAGACGGCGUCAAUGUUCGGUUCUUUGGGUUCCGAACGGGUCAGUGGAGCUCUGAAAGUGGAGUGAUAGGAACCAGCCUUGGUAUGGGUCCAGAAAAGGGGUGUUAAGGUUUCACAAUCUCACGAGCUAUUGCAAUGAGAGGAGGGAGACGCCACCUGCAAUGAUACUCCGACGCUCAAGUCAAGAGAGGAUACAGAUGGCUGCGGGAGUGAGGGUGGUAAUGACGUACCUUGUGGGAGGGAUAGAGCCCUCCCCAUAUAUACCCGCAAGGACAGACCCACCUUCCUCGAAGUUUCCCUGCAGAGCUGUUGUAUGGUGAGCUGGGGGACAAGUGUCAGGGUCGGUUUCCCGGCUCGGGUUCGACGCCCAUUGAUCCGACCGCCCAGGUCGAGUUAGGCUGAACACUAGCUAGGCUGGGCCGUAACAAUAAUAAUAUAAUUUUUUUAAUACACCAUUAAAUAAAAGUAAAAAGAUAGAUAUAAAAUUAAUAUUAGUUACUAUCAUAGAAUAAUGGACAUAACAAUCUCAUACAAAUUUAACAAAUUGAACAAAUUGAAGUGAAUCAGUGGUAUCAUAUUGCCGUCGAGAUAAAAUAUUCCUCAUCUCAUUAGACUAUACAUUGGUAGCCCAGUUUUUUAAAUGUAGGUUUUCUUUCUAGAGACAAUAAAAAAGCCAACCUGACAUUUUAUUUUUCUGUUCCAUUGUUAGUGUUAUUUUUAUACAAAUAUAUAUCAGCCAUCAAAAAAUAAAAUAUUUUGUCUCUGCAAUCGUCUAUAAAAUAUGAAUGUUGGAAAAUCUAUUUUCAAUGCAAUUAUUUUAUGAAAAACAAUAUAAUAAAAAUAAAAACUAACAAUUGAUCAAUUUACUUAUUAAAUUUCAUAAAUAUCUUGAAUAGUUUAAAGACAGAUUUAAAAGGACCGUCGGUUGUAAACGCACCAAUAACCCAGUUUUCACUUUUCAAUAGUAUGUUUUUUUGGUCUUUGUUCUUCCUUAAAAAAUAGACAAAUUUAUUUCUCAAAUACCGAUGAGACACCUUUUUCUUAAUGUAUCAUAAUUAUUUUUAUUUUGUAAUAUUCCAUAAAUCAUUUCUUUUAUCUCAUAUAAAUAAGCUAAAGUAUUUAUAAAACUUUUUAAAUAUUUUUUAAAUUGGUCCAAUUUUCUCUAUAAAACUCAAAAUUAAUAAAAUUUGCUUCAUAAUAUUUAUAAAUAAAUAUUCCACAUGUUUUCUCGUGUCAACAAUAUCUAGAUAAUAUUCUAAACCGGCUAUAAAAGAAUAAAAGAAUAAUUUUAAAAAAUUUUCGAAACUCAUACGUUGUUCAAAAAACCUAAUGCUGUUUACGUUAACUUCAAUCAAUUUUAUUUUUCGUCUUAUAUUUAUUUACAUCACAUUAAAAACCAAAAUAUCAUUAUUUUUUUAUAUUAAUUUUAAUUUUUUUUAUUUUUUUUAAUUCAUAUUUAUCCUAAAAUAAUAAUAUUAUAUUAAUAAAUUAAAUUAAAAACUAACUAUAAUAUAAUAUUAUAUUAACAUCAAUCAAUAAUUUAUAUUAAUAUAAUCAAUAUUACUUCAAAUACAAUUUAACUACGUAAAAGGAACAAAAGAGAAAAAAUUACCUCUGCACUGGAGAAACAGAACUAAGAAGGCGAGUACAACGGCGAAGCACACUGCAGAUGGAGCCGAGGCAACGAGUCAGGGACAAGCAGAGGCUGGAUCGACGCAGAUGAAGACUAGCACGGCGAAGCACACCGGGGCAGCACACAGACGAGCAGAGGAGCUGGAAACGAGACAGUGACCGUGACCGUGACCGUGGGGUGAGUUAGAAAGGUGAGGUCCUCUGCUUGUCUCAAACCAAAGAUGGUCUUCAUUGCUCCUUCCCCUUCUCCUGAAGUUACUGAUACAAUGACGUUGCCUGCAGGAUCCUGUACAAUCAAAGAUUUUUCCAAUUUUUGAAAAAUAGGCUAAACGAUGGCGUUUUGGAAAGAAUUAAGAAAAAAAACAAAAACAGUGCCAGAAAUUUAUAUUAUUAAAAAAAUCCCUGGAUUUCUAAAUUGAAAAAUUGAAUGGUGAGGGAAGAAGAAGGUGAAGGAAAGGGAGAGGUAGUGCCAUGGAAGACAAUGGUGACAAGGAGUAUGUAAUUGAUGAGUAAAAUGAAGAGCAGUUAAGGAAGAAGAAGUGUUGCUCACACCACUAAAAACUGGAAUAAAAAUAAGCGAAUAUUAUCCAAGAAUAAAAACCAAUAGCCCACUUUUUCAUCAGAUCUCCAGUUAUUAUCCAGUAUCACUUACAUAUCUAAGAAGAUUGAGACUUUGAUUUGGGAUGCAAAAACCUCUGUUAUUCCUACUACAAGUGACUUCGAGCACAAUCACACCAAAGACAAACACAUCCAAUUCAUAGCAAAAAAAUCAUAACAGAACCAAAACCUUAAACCAAGAAUCUCAACCAAGAAAAUAAUGAAUUCAGAAAUCAGAAUAAACACAAAAAAGAUAAAUAAAAUCAGAAUAAACCCUAAAAUCUAAUAAAAACAGAACAAAAUCAAAUAAACCAANNNNNNNNNNNNNNNNNNNNNNNNNNNNNNNNNNNNNNNNNNNNNNNNNNNNNNNNNNNNNNNNNNNNNNNNNNNNNNNNNNNNNNNNNNNNNNNNNNNNNNNNNNNNNNNNNNNNNNNNNNNNNNNNNNNNNACCCCCCCUUCCCCCAAAUAAAUGUUAUUACCAAUAAUCAUAACAAACUGAAAAUUAUCAUAACAAUCAGAAAAUCAAAACCACUAACCAAUAAUCAUAACGAAUAGAAAAAUCAUCAUGUCGAAACAUAAAAAAAUUAGAAGUCAGAACAGAAAAAAAAAGUUCAGAAAAAUCAGAUUAAACAAGAAAUCAGAACAAAAAUUGAACAAAUCAUACCUGAGGCUGAGAGACUGAGAACCAUGGAGCACAACUGAGAAUGAUGGAGAACCACGGCACUAAGGAUGAUGCAGCUGCUGAGAUCAACGGUGCUGAGAACGAAGACGCUGAGAGACGCGGCUUCUGGACGGCGUGAGGCAUCGACGGACGACGAGACGGAAACGGCUGUUGCUAGACGGCUGGACAGCGACGGAGAGAGGAGUGUGGGUGAGUAGAGACAGCAGUUUGUGUGUGAGCGAGANNN